AAAAAAGGAAUUUAUUUUUUUCAUAAAGCUAACAUACAUGUACCCAUCAGGAUAACGACUAAAGCUCAAAAAGUGCAAUUCCAUUCCCCAGAAAGAUUUCCACAAAUCAUUUUCCAAGGAAACAAACACACUCGAAACCAUACCACAAUAAAACAGGUACAAACAUGAAAGAAAGAGAAACGCAUAAGCGAUUCUCCAAUCCCCACAAAUACCUCAUGAUCUAUUAU
rnacentral:misc_RNA from 1 species